CUGCCUUUCAGAGGCUUUACUUAUUCAUUACUCUCAGGGAGCACUGUACCAGGAGCAGCUUCUGAGCUUUUCAGCGCUUUAGAGUACAAACUGUGACCGUUGGGUGGAAGACUUGGACUCCUGUUAGUAACCCCUGGCUUUAAAUUCUACAAGGACUGCUCUUUAAUCUUGCCAGCCCAGCUGGCUGCGUGUGCGUGAUUAGAUAUGGACGGCUGGAAGUGCUGUUUUAAGAGUUAACAGGAAAGAAAGCUUGGACCCUCCUCCGCCUCCUGCCAGGGACCCAGUUGCUGUUCCAGUUCUUAUCAUCACCCCAGAUCAGAAUCUGCAGUGGGUGAAGCUGGAAAGCAUCAGCUUAUCAGUGCUGGUCGCGUGGCUUCUUUGUGUACAGCAGCUGCUGUUGAAUGCACGGGCAAAUACUGAGGCUCAGCACUGGCCAGUUAAACACAGAACUAAGGAACACAGGAAAUACAUGUACCUCUACCUUUUCUAAACGAAAUUUAAACCACCUUACACACAAUCCCCAGGGUUACUUCUGUCCAUUACUUAUCCCCAAUUGAGUUAGCACUAAGUGGAUGCAGAAAAGAACCCCAUAAUACUCAAAGUGAUUCAUUAUUAAAGGGUUGUCAUAGUUUAAAACAACACACCAUGGAUGUACGUUUUUAUCCAGCUGCUGCUGGCAACACUAUUCCUGGAGAUCCUUCCAGCCUGGACCUCUCCCAAUGCCUGGGCUACUACAGCUACAACAAGUUUGCAGGGAACAAUAACUAUAUGAACAUGGCUGAUCCGAGUCAUACUUUUUCAACGACCAAUGAGACAUUCCACACUCCAAGCCUUGGCGAUGAAGAGUUUGAGAUUCCACCUAUCACCCCGCCGCCAGAAACAGACCCCACACUGGGGCUAACCGAUGUGGUGUCAGGUUUUCAAGGCCUUAAUGAUCUGUUGCAGUCACAAGGAAAUGAAUUCACACCCCAUUUUCCCCCACAAAGCCUGGAGCUGCCUUCCAUUACAAUAUCCAGAAGUAUUCUGGACCCAGAUGGUGGACUCCUCAGCAAUGGUUUGUCUGUGGACCUGGGACAAGCACAAGUUCCCCAGUACCACCAUGAUCCAAGCAUGGGCAUGCGGCCUGUUGUUCACAUGGCUGAUGUUAACCAAACAGGAAUGAUUCAACAUAAUCAGCUGACCACCAUUAACCAAUCACAACUCAGUGCACAACUAGGAUUGAAUUUAGGAGGUGGUAAUGUGCCCCACAAUUCGCCCUCGCCCCCUGCCAGCAAGUCAGCUACGCCAUCGCCUUCUAGCUCAGUAAAUGAUGAUGAUGCUGAGGAAUUCAACAGGGUGAGUGUUGAGAAACGAGCUGCAGUAGAUUCAGGAAAAAAACCCAAGACACCAAAGAAGAAGAAGAAGAAGGAUCCUAAUGAGCCCCAAAAACCUGUAUCAGCCUAUGCUCUAUUCUUCAGGGACACGCAAGCUGCCAUUAAAGGACAAAACCCCAAUGCCACAUUUGGAGAAGUUUCUAAAAUUGUAGCAUCUAUGUGGGACAGUCUAGGAGAGGAACAAAAACAGGUAUACAAAAGAAAAACAGAAGCCGCUAAAAAGGAAUAUUUGAAAGCGCUUGCUGCGUACCGAGCCAGCCUUGUUUCAAAGGCUGCUGCAGAAUCAGCUGAAGCACAGACCAUGCGUUCUGUUCAGCAGACCUUAGCAUCGACUAGUCUUUCAACUUCCCUUCUUAUGAAUCCAUCACUUUCCCAGCAUGCAUCUGUCUCAGCAUCAACCCAGACACUGCCAAGAGCAAUAGCCCCUAAACCAAUGAGGCUGCCCUUGCAAGGCAAUCAGCUGGUGGCAUCUGUUACCAUAGCUCCAAACAUGUCAACAAAUAUUGCCGCACCUCUGGGUACCCCUAUGGUCCCCACUCCACCUUCACCCCAGCUAAGUCCUCCACUGCAGCCUCAGCAGCACCAGAUACAGCAAAUGCAACAGCAUCAAUUGCAACACUUUCAGCAGCAUCAAAUGCAGCAGCAAAUACAACAGCAAAUGCAGCACCAGCAAAUUCAGCAGCAUCAGCACCAAAUACAGCAGCAUCAAAUGCAGCAACACCAGAUGCACCAUCAAAUGCACCAACAGCAGCUUCAGCAGCACAUGCAGCAGCAGUUGCAGCAGCAGUUGCAGCAACAGCAGAUUCAGCAGCAGUUACAGCAGAUGCAGCUACAGCACAUGCAGAAACAGCAAAUCCAGCAGCUGCAACAGCAGCACCCACCUCAGCACUCGCCACCUCAGCAUUCCCCUGUUGCCUCACAGUCAGUGGUGGCCUCACAGAUCACUUCGCCAGUGCCCACACCAUCAAGUCCACAGCCAGCUCAGCAACAACAAUCUCCACUACAAACCCAGGCCCAGACCCAAGUAUUGCCACAGGUCAGUAACUUUUAAACAUAAAAACUUCCCUGGAAGACAAGGCGGCACGAUAUUUUAAAUUGAUGCGACUAAUAUUCUCUGAAACGGAUGAUAUUUAAUAGAUUCAUGAAUCUGGUCUAUCUUUGACCUCAAACUGUUUGGUUUUUUUUAUGCGUUAAUAAAUAAAUAUGUACUUCAUGAUCUCUUCUUUGUGGUAAAAUUAUCCCAGCAUAGAUUUUUAAGAAUCAGUUAUGCAUAUUAUGCUGGUUGAAAUGUGAAGCUGAGGAUUUUUAGUUGUGAUGUACACUGUAUAAUUUUCAUUUUCUACAGUGAUACUUUGCCCUUAUUUCUUUGAAAAUGUAAAACAGUAAUCCAACAGGUUGUUUAAAUAAAAGUCAUAACAUCAAAAAAGUGUGGUAAUUGGUUCAGUCCUAUUUAAAUACUUAGGAUAUGUAUAUAUUUUAUCAAAGAACGAACGGAAGAUUAGAUCAACAAGAUUUACAUCAAAGAACAAACUUUUUUGUUUAAUUGUGACUUCUAGUAAAUGAUCUGUCUCAUUACAGAUUGUGAAUUCAGUUGGGUGAAUUGCUAGAUUAUAGAUAUGUUUAUCAUUUUAUUGGGAUUAACAUCAUUUUCACAAUGCUACCACACCAGUUAGAAGUAAACUUGCAUGGAUAGACAAUGAAUGCUGUCAGUGGCAGGUAUACCAUUCAGAUGGUAAUUUUUUUUAUUCACUCAUGGAAUGUGGGCAUUGCUGGCUGGCCAGCAUUUUAUUGCCCAUCCCCAGUUGCUCUUGAGAAGGCGAUAGUGAGCUGCUUUCUUGAACCACUGCAGUCCAUGAGUUACAGUUUGACCCACAAUGUCUUUAGGGAGAAAAUUCCAGGAUUUUGACCCAGUGACAGUGAAGGAAUGAUGAUAUGUUUCCAAGUCAAAUAUGCAGAAACGGUCCAAAGUCCACAAAAACGCACCAGCUAGUGAAUAGUGAUCUUUCCUUUUUGAUAAAUAAACAAAUAUAUUACUGGAAGGGAAAAUAAAAAUAUUGGCUCUGUAUAUGUUAAAAUUCCAUAAAUGAAUAGAUCUUAGUUGCUUUAGUUCACUCUAGAGAAAGGCUUCCAUCGUUCCUUGGUUUUGGUCAUCCUUUUAUACUCCUGAAUCCAAUAGAUAAUGCUCCUCUUAUUUUGUUUCACAAUUGGAUGGCAGUCAAGAAAGGCAGUACAUAUGCUCUAUGUACCUGUUUGUUGUUUUGCAAAUGAAUCUGCUUUCCUAGCUCCAGUGACUAUUGUUUGUUAAAAUAAAGAAUCUGAAAUUAGUUUAUUUGUUCUGAAACAGAAACUGUAUAAGAAACUCUUGCCAAAUGGAGUUACGUGUGCUUUACAUUUUACAAACAAUAGUUUUUGUUGGAAGUUGCUUGUGUCACAUUGAUCACAAAUUUGUACUGAUAACCCUUCCCACUUAGCCGUCCAGAAAACAUCCCAGUGUUACAUAGUGCUUGGCAACCCAUUGCCCUGCACCCAAAAGCGGAAUGAAUGGAUUUUCAUUGAUGCACAUAAAUGUCCAUUUAGAAAUGUUUAAAAUAAUUUAAGAAAAUGUAUUGUAGAAAUAGCAUCCAUUACAACAAAUUGUAUGUUCCUGUAAAUAGAUCACAGUCGUAGAAUAUCUUUUUGGUUGUUUCCUUUCACACUAGUAAAUGAAUCUGUAAUUUGUAUUAAUAGCGUUGAGAAAGUACUGAGCACCUUUGUGCAUAUUGCCUGCGCACAGAUGGGAUUAGCAGUUCACAUUAUUUCAUUUCUCAUCCAAGUGCAUCAGAAAUGAGGCUGCCAUCGUAAUGCUUUCUGGAACAGCAUGGCUGCUGUCCCCAGCUGUCUCCAGUGAUUAAUUACAGCAUCUGUCCUGUCAGAAGCUAUAGUGAAGAAGUCUGGUUAAAAUUGCAAAUGAGCGCUGGCAACAACCUUAAACUGCUGAUGAUAAAAUGAAAAUUAAAAACAGCAAGUGUCAUGCAUGACUGGAAUCCCAAUACACACUGGGGACAUGCUAUAGUAUGUGUCCGUAGCUACCAGCUAUUAGUUAUAAACAGAAAUUAAAAUAAUGAGCACUCACAAAAUAGCAGGUAUUCUGUUGAGCCCGGACCACAUUGUUUCAUUGAUAAGGAAACAUGAAUUUUGUCUGUGUUCUGCAACCAUGCAGCAUUUUGAUCCUUGUGUACAAAUAUUUAAUAGCGCAGUGUUGAUCUGAUUAAAUUCUUAAAUUCAUUGCUUGGAAUAAAUUAGAUGAGAAGGAGAGAAAGAUUUGUGUGUGGAACUUAUCUCUCCAAUUUACGUUUCAUCUGCUAUCAGAAAAUUAAUAUGAAUUAGACAAUGUCGCUGUAGAAAGAUAAUCCAGCCCAAAUCAGCUUUUGUAUUUUAUUGCCAGGUAUAAUUACAUUUUUGUCUUUUGACAAGCGUAAUAUGAUUCGUAGUUUAAUUUAUGCUUAUUUUUGUCUAUUUCAGAAAUUAAAGCUUGCAUGACUCAUUCUACCCUAGGGAAAUUAGAUGUCGACCAUAUAAAAUUAUAAUGUGAUAUCUCACUUGUGUAACACAAGUUUUUUAAUCCUUUAUUGCCUAUUCAUGACACAUAUAUUUUAGAUUUUAAAAAUAUACAAUGAGUUUCAUUUUUUCACUCAGAGUUCAAAUAAUUCUAUUUAUUUUCAUGGAAUGCACCAUGAGAAGAUACUUUCUCAUGUCAGUGGAAAGCUGUGUCUUCAUUCCCUUUAAACAGUUGUGACAUUAUUUGAAUGAACACGAAAAGUUUUAAUUAAAUUUGGCACUAGGUCAUUAAUCACUAAGUUAGAGUAUAACAGCCCCGGUGACUGUACGCAGCAUAAUUUCUGUCAGCCAUUAUCACCUGAUCCAUUGAUGUUUGCAGUAUUUCUAGACUGAUGGAUUAAAUAUCUCAGGUUUAACCAGUGUCUUCUGCCUUACUCUAUUCAAUAGUCUUUAAGCAUUUGAAAGGCUUCUUUCUAUUACCCACUUCAUGGAGUAGUUUGCAGUACUGGACUUGAGUAUAACCUUUCUUGCUCCUUUGUUUUGCUUUUGUUUUGUAACAGCUGUUAUCAUCGUUUUUGGUCAGCUGUGAUUGCUGGAGGGAAAAUAGGACCAGAUGGUGUUUUGCUAUGCAUGAAUGGAGUGUUAGAGUAGUUUGGACUGAAUAGGCCACGAUUGAAUGGUGUCUAUACACCACCUGCCCCUUAGCAGCAGUGUUUGGAUCAUAGUAGCAUGAUCUGUCUUGGACUUAGUAGGUUAGGAUGGGAAAAAAUAGAGACAAAAAUAGAGAGUUGUUGGAUUUAGCCCAUAUUUAUUGAUCAGCCGUGUGGGCAGGAGCAUAGUGCAAUAGACAGUCAAUUUGACUUAAUUGGAUAUGACACCACAUGUACAUGUAAUCUAUCAUUGUUUUCUUUCAAUACAGGUUACCUGUUUCCAUGGAAACAUGGUAUUGUCAUGAUGUAGUAUCAGAUAAAGGAAGGAGGCAGGAAUUUAGUUGAGUGUGUGUUUCUGCUUUUGUCAGUCUUUUUGUAAUUAUGUUGCAUGUAACAAAGGGACACAGAUUGUGAUUCAACAAAAAAGUAUCUCCACCCAGGUUUUCAGUGCUAACACUGCUUUGUUAAAAUGCAGAAAAAGGAUAGCAUACUUGAGCCGCAUACUGUUGAUCCAAAUUCUGAGAUUAAAGCAUGAUGCAAAAUGGUAUUUUCACUCAUUUUUAAUUUGAAUUGUAAUUACCAAUUACUGUGUGGAAUUCACAAGGACAAGCUCUCAAAAUAUAAUGCUCUUUUGAGAUGGCAUUGCUUAAAAUUGCCUCUUCUGCUGCGGAGUAUUUUGCGUUUCUAAUUUGUAUGCAAUCCUUGCCUCCUCUUGUCUGUUGGAAGCCAAAGGAUAUCUUCAUGGCGUGGGUUGCCUCUCGUAAUCAGAGCUGUACUGCUUCUGUGAAGUGAAGAUUCGCCAUCAACGUUUUGCAGCCAAAACUCGGCAUUUGUCAGACUGACUGCCAAGAAGAUGUUCUGAAAUGGCAGGCUGACAUGCUUUGUUUCCUUGUAACUACAUGGGCACAGACUUCAGAAGGCUUUCCAGUGACAGGCUGUACAGACUUUCUUUAGGCCCACCUGCCACUUCUGCCAGUGCCUGGAGAGCUAGCCAUUUUACAUUGUGUAAUGUAGCUUCAGAUGAUUAUUUUGUUUGACAUGAACUUAAAGGGCAUGGCUUUUAGUAAAUGACGUGCCUCUGCAUGAUUGCUGAAGACUUUGAGAAGACUCAGAUGGAAAAACAACUCUUCUUCUCUGACAGUGAUGUCAUUGUGCCCAGUUGAGACUUAAGAUACUGAGUGAAGCGUAUUACUUAAAUGGAAUGCUAACUACAAUUUUCUUCACAAUAGCGCAAUUGCUUUUUGAUGGUUUAAAGGAGAGUUAAGAUCUUUUGCUCAAUAAUUGUUUCCAUUUUACGAAUUGUACACAACGAUCAAGUUUAAGAAUGUUGGUUUCUCAGAUGUAAUUAUUUUCUAAGUUCUUAAGAAACCAGGUUCAUUAUGUAAUAAGCAGUCAUGUGACACUUGUAUAAUAACACCUUUUCCACUGGUAGUUUCAUCUAUUUGUUCUGCAACCAAAAAGAGUUAUUUUACUAUGUACUGUAUUGUAGGAAUUGCUUUUUGUACAGCAAUUUCUUAGCAUAGUGUGCUCAGUUUAACUGUGCCUCCUUUAAAGGAGACUUCUGUGUAUAAGGCCAAAUGCUUUAAAAAAGCUCCUCUUUAAUGCAGUAGUCAAGUUAGAGAUGGCUAGUGAAAUAGCCUGUAAACCAAAAUCAAUCAUGUUUAAUAUUUUUACUUCAGUUUGUAUUUAAUUUUUUGUAUUAAAAUUUGUGAUCUUAUUUAAGAUUUAAUUAUUGAAAAAUGAUAGUUGGUGUAUUACUGAUCGACCUUUCAGUGAAGUGUACUUGUUUCUUCACCCAGAAACAAGUGGUUUCUUUCUCUCUUGUAACUGAUCUUUUAAUUUGUUUUAUUUUGACUGUAAUAAA